rnacentral:miRNA from 1 species
CGUGUUCCCAGGUCGCCCCUG